ACAGUCACCUGGCAGGGGAGAGACCAUGAUUAAAAAGGUGGUUUUCCCAGGGUGAGGCUUAUCCACUGCACUCCAGAUGUGCUGACCCCUGUGAGUUUCCUGAAUUCUGGAAACUCAACUGCAUAAUUUGUGGUGGUGGGGGUCUGUAUUCAUGCUCGACCCUG